rnacentral:lncRNA from 1 species
UUUACACUCUUGAAUAACUUCAUUGAUAGUCAUCCCAUGACUCUUGUUUUGAUGUUGCUCUACCGCUUUUUUAUUAGAUUCAAGCAAUACUCCUAGCAAAUCAUCAUAGUUACCUUCUCCUGCCUUCAUAGCCUUGAGCCUGUUCUCAAUGAUGCUUCCUAUUGAACUUUGUACUUCAUUAUUUAUUGCGUUCAUCCUCAUGUUCCUUUUUGUUGGAAGAAACCUAUAUCCAGGGAUGUAAAGUGACUUUAAGGUCUCCAUUACAAGUUCACUUUGCUCUCUUAGGAGUUCACAUAUCCGAACUCCUUCUUCAUAACUACUUCCGAACGUAGUUCUUGAUAUGACGUCACUUGUUAAAGCUUGAAGAUGAGGCCAAACAUCCAACUCGCAUGACCCAUUUGAU